AGCAGCCGCGGUAAUUCCAGCUCCAAUAGCGUAUAUUAAGGUUGUUGCAGUUAAAAAGCUCGUAGUUGAAUUUCGAGACCGGUUUACUGGUCGUGCUUUUGUACGUACUGGUAUUAUUGGUUUCUCCUUUCUGACGAAUCAUAAUGCCAUUAAUUUGGUGUUUUGGGGAAUCAGGACUGUUACUUUGAAAAAAUUAGAGUGUUUAAAGCAGGCUCACGCUUGAAUACAUUAGCAUGGAAUAACGAAAUAGGACGUUUGGUCUUAUUUUGUUGGUUUCUAGGAUUCGACGUAAUGAUUAAUAGGGAUAGUUGGGGGCAUUAGUAUUCAAUUGUCAGAGGUGAAAUUCUUGGAUUUAUUGAAGACUAACUACUGCGAAAGCAUUUGCCAAGGAUGUU
rnacentral:rRNA from 1 species